ACCGGAAGCUCAAGUGGUGGCAAUUUUUAUUGGGCCUAAAGCGUUCGUAGCCGGUUUGAUAAGUCUCUGGUGAAAUCCCGCAGCUUAACUGUGGGGCUUGCUGGAGAUACUAUUAGACUUGAGGUCGGGAGAGGUUAGGGGUACUCCCAGGGUAGGAGUGAAAUCCUAUAAUCCUGGGAGGACCACCUGUGGCGAAGGCGCCUCACCGGAACGACCCUGACGGUGAGUAACGAAAGCCAGGGGAGCGAACCG
rnacentral:rRNA from 1 species